UUAUUGUGGUUGUAAUUAACAGACGAAGGUCGUGUUAAGGAGUUUAACUUGAAGAGUAUGUGGAGGAGUCCCAAUGGCACUAUUAGGAAUAUUUUGAAUGGUACUGUUUUCAGAGAACCAAUUCUUUGCAAAAACAUCCCUCGCCUUAUCCCAGGCUGGACAAAGCCAAUAUGCAUUGGAAGACAUGCUUUCGGUGAUCAGUAUCGAGCAACUGAUGCUGUCAUUAAAGGACCUGGGAAACUGAAAUUGGUGUUUG